ensembl:misc_RNA Metazoa_SRP Metazoan signal recognition particle RNA
GCUGGGCGCGGUGUCGCGUGCCUGUAGUCCCAGCUACUCGGGAGGCUGAGGCUGGAGGAUCGCUUGAGCCCAGGAGUUCUGGGCUGUAGUGCUCUGCCGAUAGGGUGUCCACACUAAGUUCAGCAUCAGUAUGGUGACCUCCUGGGAGUGGGGAACCACCAGGUUGCCUAAGGAGGGGUGAACCGGUCGGAAACGGAGCAGGUCAAAACUCCCUGCUGAUCAGUAGUGGGAUCAUGCCUGUGAAUAGCCACUGCACUCCAGCCUGGGCAACAUAGCGAGACCCCAUCUCUU